GGGCAUCCCAACCGUGGUCAGGGGAGGAGAAAUAAACCUGGGAUCAUGAGAUAACCAGGAAAAUCGGUGAGCUUGAAAUGAGUAUGCAGACCAUAAGUUUAUUAUGAAAUGAAAUUCAUAGAAUGAAAUUCCAUAGUUGAAUAAUGAGGGACCCCUUGGGGUUCUACUGGUGGUACACGCGGAGAUUUUCAGAGCUCCAGCUCCGCGGAAUGGGAGUCCCAUCUAGAGACUCCAAUUUAUAAGUUCCGGGUCGGCGGAUGCGCGUGACUCGGUAUGGUCCUUCCCAGUUCGGGGCCAGCUUCCCUUGCUCAGUUGGUC
rnacentral:lncRNA from 1 species